UUUGGAUUCAAAUGACCUUGCCUUGUUUCUCAGGGCUGGGGGUGUCUGCACCCCGCCACCUCCCGGCCCUGGCACUCCUUCUCUGCCACCUGUCCCACAGUCCUCCCACACUGCUCCACCCUCGCCACUCCCGCCAGAUUUACAAACUCGAUCUCCGCUCCACAUUGACAAAUAUAGUACUGUGCACCCUAGCUAUACACGUGCCUAAAAUUACAGCGCAGUACUGAAAAUCUUAAAUACUAAGCUCAUAUCAUGAAACAAUUGGCAUGUUCCAGUCUCUCAGGACCACAGAAGGCAAAAAGUUACAUCCAACACUAAGCAUCAUUUUCAUUGAUAAAGUGUACAACCCUUCAGACUCUCAGCUAAUGAACUGUCUUGCAUUGAGAGCCAGGACCCUCCUACAAGCAACAAUCUUCAUGAGGAAUGAAUCCAAACAAAAGGAAGUCUGCAAUCAGUUAAGGAAAGAGUUCGGCAACCGAUGGUUUUCUCGUGAAUGUCGUGCCCCUGAUGCUCUGUGCCUGUGACGUUGCUGCAAGAAUUCUGCAGAUGCUGGAAAUUCAAGCAACAUACAUCAAAGUUGCUGGUGAACGCAGCAGGCCAAGCAGCAUCUAUAGGAAGAGGCGUUUACAUUUCUUUGACUUUGUGGACAUUAUUAUUAGAUUUAUUGGAAGCUGUGUCAUACAUCCGGUGCUAGGUUGACAGAGGCGGCCACUGGUUUGUUAGAAUUGGCCACUACAGACCCCCAGUCAGUUCAGAUUGGCAACUUUUCCUCCGGGGUCUCCAUCAGUACGGGUGCACCACAGGGCUGUGUGCUCAGCCCCCCUCCCUACUUGCUUUAUACUUACGACUGUGAGGGAGGAAGAAACUAGAGGACCAUGAGCCAGUCAUCAUCAGAGAAUCGGAGGUGGAGAUGGUUAGCAACUUUAAAUUCCUCGGUGUUAUUAUUUCAGAGGACCUGUCCUGGGCCCAGCACAUUAAUGCAAUUUAGAAUAAAGCACAGCAGUGCCCCUACUCCUUGGGGGUUUGUGAAGAUUUGGCAUGACGUCUAAAACUUUGACAAACUUCUAUAAAUGUGUAAUGGAGAGUAUAUUGACUGGUUGCAUUACGGCCUGGAAUGGAAACACCAAUGCCCUUGAAUGAAAAAUCCUACAAAAAUUAUUGCAUAUGGCUCAGUCCAUCACAGGUAAACCCCUCCUCGCAAUUGAGCACAUCUACAUGAAGCGAUGUCACAGGAAAGCAGUUUCCAUCAUCAGAGACCUCCGCCCUUGAGGACAUGCUCCCUUCUCACUGCUGCCAUCAGGAAGAAGAUACAGGAGCCUCAGAACUCACACCACCGGGUUCAGGAACAGUUAUUAUCCCUCAACCAUCAGACUCUUGAACCAAAGGGGAUAACUUCACUCAACUUCACUCGCCCCAUCAUUGAAAUGUUCCCACGACCUAUAGACUCAUUUUCAAGGACUCUUCAUCACAUGUUCUCAAUAUUUAUUGCUUAGUUAUAUAUUAUUCUUAUUCCCUUCUUUUUGUAUUUGCACAGUUUAUUUUCUUUUGUACUCCGGCUGAACACCCAAGUUGGGUGUUCAUUUAUUCUGUUAUGGAUAUUAUUUUAUAGAAUUAUUGAGUAUGCCCACAAGAAGAUGUGUACAUGGUGACAUAUAUGAUCUCUCAAAUAUGAUCUCGGGGUUGUACAUGGUGACAUAUAUGUACUUUGAUAAUAAAUUUAAUUUGAA